rnacentral:misc_RNA from 1 species
GAAAUGCGAUAAGUAAUGUGAAUUGCAGAAUUCAGUGAAUCAUCGAAUCUUUGAACGCACCUUGCGCUCUCUGGUAUUCCGGGGAGCAUGCCUGUUUGAGAAUCGUAAAGCAAACCCAUCACAGUUGAAUUUUUUGACUGUGGAGUUGGGCCGCAAUUCCCUUUUUCAUUGAGAAAAGGGAUGGCCUGAAAUUCAGUAGGCCGGGUCUGGGUAAAACCAGAUACCCCUCAGGACAGAAAAUUUUUCGCCCAAAGCAAAUAAUAGUUAAUACGUUUUUUCUAAGCGUGUUAUCCCAUUUUGCCUUGGGUUUCUGGCCUAGAGAAUUUGGCCUGACACUUUGACUCGGGCGAACGGUUUCGGCCGUAGAAGAAGAGUUAAAGGAAUCAGAGUAUUUUGAUGGGCCGAGCUGUAUUUACUUACAGCCGGACGGCCCUGAACUCUUAGAUCUCAAAUCAGGCAAGAAUACCCGCUGAACUUAAGC